ensembl:lncRNA
UUCAUAGCACUUUUCAAAGUUUAUUAUUUGGUGCAUUAUGCAGAAGAAAAGGGAAAAAACCUGGGCAUAGCACUGGGUGGAACACCUAUGUGCAGAGAAUAUCCUUAUGUGGAGAUGGAAAAGCUUGAAUUCACUGAAAGAAGCCCAGUUUGAAUCAUGCUGUCAGGAGCACCCAGUCAGCAUGCUUCUUCCAAGGGCUAGGAACCAGGGCUGUCCUACUACCGCAGCUGGGGGCAGCCCAAGCCCCAGGCAUCAAGCACCUUCCUGGGAUCAGGCUGAGGCAGGGUUGGGACAGCUGCCCACGGGUGGGGUCAGGCUCUGGAUCAAUGGGGCCAUGGCUGGGCAGCGCAGGCUGUCCCAGGGGAAGGACACUAAGCCCCACCAGCAGCGCUGUCUGGAGGAGCUCUCCCCAAGACCACCAGCAGCAUCAGCUCAUUGUGGUCCCUGAGCCCAGGAAGACAAAUCCCCAGGGUGGGGAGGAGGGAUGUGCUUAGGGAUCUGACAUAUUAACAUGGAGUAACACAUUCUCCAUUCAUGGUAACUUAAUUUUUUCUAUGGUAAGAAUGACCAAAUAUUUUAUCUUGGCAUUUACAAAGUGGACACAGUGACAAAUUUAGACAAUGUUCAUUGGUCUCUGCCAUUGUGGUGAGCCUUUAAUUUUUAAGUCAAGUUGUAUGCUAAAAUAGCACAUCCUCAGCACUCAGGUCAGCUGUACUGAAAAAAACUUCUUGGUCCCAGAGGUGAAGCCACCUCUUUCUGUUAGACUCUCCUCUUCGUUUUGAAAAACACACCCUUCAUAGAGUUUAAAGGAGGAAAAAAACCCUAGAUAGCUGAACUAGUCUCACCACAGAUGGACUUCCUGAAAGAUGUCUGUUGCUGAUGUCAGUGGCCAAAAAUGCAGGGCUGGCUGUUCAGGUGGGGAGUACAGGACAGGGUGCUGGGUAGGGCACCAGCAAUACAUGUGUUCCCAUUGUAGCUCUGGAUUUUCUGGGAGCUGUUCAGCAGGUCGCUUGGCCUUCUUUCCAUUUAUAUUUUUCAUGUUGCUAGUAUUGGCUGGUUAACAGGCUAAUCCUCAUACUGUUGUUUGAAAUCAUGUAUUUAUUGUCAUUGCCAGUUGUUAUAGACAAUUCACUGAAUUAUUUUUGUAAUAGCUUUUUCCUUUGAUCAGUCACACUAUCUAAUUAGAAAUGAAUUAAAACAGAUGCCUUUCACUUGUAUCUGUGCAAUAAGCCUGAAUUCAUAAAUAUUAUUUUAUGGGUAAUGAUCAUCCUUAGUAAUAUAGUAGCUGACUAGGCUGAAAUGCUGAAAGACAUCAUAGUCCAAAUAGAAAUGUGGGUUAAUAUGCUCAUUAACAGGCAAUGUUUAAAAACAUUACUUGCUUGAAAUGAAGACAGCUUCCUGCCUAGGAAUGAAGCUGGACAACACAUCCUUUUAGUUGGGAAAUUUCAGGUUAAAGUUGUUAUAAAAACUAGCUAAAAAAAACCCCUUGGCUAUUACAAAAAACAGAAUUAAAACUUCCUAAUGUUUUACUUUUAUGUGAUUUUCACUCUGUUUGUAAAAUAAAGCCACUAGGACAUCUAUGGUAACUAGAGAAGUUUCAGAGAGCAGCCUGUACCAGAUUUUGGGUUAUGUACACAGAUGCUGCAAGGAUUUCCUUUAGCAUUACCUAACAAUCUAUUUGUCUACAUCAAGAGCCAUGAAGAUUUUAAGACACAUGUAAGUUUAGCAUAGCUCACCUUUGAAUACAUAAGCAAAUAAAUGAACAUGUCAUGUAAGGAGACAUCUUACUAUUUUUAAAGAAAUGUAGACAAUAUAGUUUCACAGAAGGCUGUCACCAGAAUAUUGGUAUUUCCCUGAUUCUGGUUGGGCCAGAAAUAAACUAUUUGAAAACUUUUUUCAACUGGUGUCCUGAAAAAACUUCAGAGGAGCAGAAAAGAAAUGACAGCAAGGAUGUUCAUAGUACUCACUGAUGACAUAAAUUUCUUUGAAUGACACACUUAAGCUCCACAUCCCUUGGUUCUCAGGAGGCUUUUGUGGAAUCCUAUCAUUCAAGGUGGCUUUGCAAUGCACCAAAUUGACUAUCACUACUGGACGCUGUAAACUUACCAUCAAAAGCAAUUUUUCAAGUGAAUUCUACAUGUAAAUGCUUGAUGAGCAUUUGACAGUGCCUGCUGGGUUAAUAAAUACAGCAUGCUGUGUAAUUGAUAGCUGUGAAUUGUCUCAAGGGAGAAAUAGGGUUGUCCCUACCUCCCCAUUGCCAAUUAUAACUUGUGCGUUUAAGUAACUCUGGCAUUUUUUGCAUUAAUUAGAAAGCAUGUGAGGUGAAAAUGGAGUUGUCACAUUGUUUUCAGUGGAUAUGUUUUGCUCACAAGUUGGGCAAAAGAGUCAAAGAGUAGAGACUGUGGAAAUCUUGUUUUCUGAGCAGCAAGAACUAUAGGUGGUUAGAGGAAAGCCAGUCAGAAUGUGGAGUUCUGGCUUUUAACUCUUGUAUUUUGCAUCAUCCUGUAAAAGUCAUAUCACUACUUUUUGCAAUAGGACCCUGAUGUGAAUAAGAAAAUGUGCUAGUAUUUUUCUAAGGCCAUAUAUUUCAUGAUUUAUUUUUUAUUUCAGUUUCCCAUCAGCGAAAUAGAGAGAAAUAGUUAGUUACAAAACAAAUAAAGCUUAGUUCAGAGGUUCUAUUAAAUGUCAAAUUCAGCAGCUCUGUUAAUAUGGACUCUAAGUUUUCAUAAUAUGCCUCAGAUUAUACGUUCAGAUGAAGAGGUGUAAUUGCAUUGUCACUGAAUUAGAGCAGCAUGAUGUCUAUCAGACAGUAUAAAGUAUGUUGCCAAGAAAAAGAAAUUUAUAGUGGGAAAAACUGGGCAGGAGUUCUAUGUUGGGUCCCUGCAUUUUCACUGUCUGCACUUCGGGAUGUAGAUAGCUUUAAACACCUCCUUGUCCUACAGAAUCCUCUGGGAAUGCUGGCAGAAAUCCAUGUCUUAGUCAAUACUGAAAUUAAACUGAUGGUUACCAUCACCUCUCAUGAAAGCUGCAGACUUUCCAUUGCCAUCAAAACCACAUUGGAAACAUAAUUUUUUUCAUAAAAUAUCUAGACUUUUAUAGUCCUGGUCAGCCAUUAAAUGAAUUGCUAAUCUCUGAAGACAUUAGACUUGAUUCAUCCUUCUAUAAAUUCUUUUUUUACCAUUCUGACUGCUGUGGAGGGAGCUAAAAUUAAGCACAAGUUGGAGUUGCACCUUUUAAGAUCACUUUAUGUGUCCAGGACAGAGUGAGUCCUAGCACAAAUGAGGUGCAACUUUUUUACCUCCAUGGGGAAUAAAACUGAAAUCAGUGGAAUCAGUGGACAGAGUCUAAUCAUCUUCAGCAAUAGCUAUAUCAGCACCUAUGUGUCCACUGAGAGAGUAGAAGGGGAAACAAACACACUCUUUCAGUUUGUUGGGGUUUUUUAUAAAUGUGGGGGUUAGGUGCUUUGAACUAAGGCCUGGCUUCCUUUGGAGUGAAGGUUGGGUCUUGUGACUUUACAAAGUUCCAGCUUUUUCCACGUCAGAGUGUCUUAAGUUUUUUCUUAACUCCCUACUCCUGGCACCCAACACCAGUAUUAUGCAACCUGGGACAAGGGGACACUGGGUCCCUUUGGAGGUUGAGUCAUACUCAAAGAUGAAAUAUAAAACUAAACCUCACAAUUUUGAUCAUUAGAAAAUCCAAGUUGUAUUUAUCUUGCAAAAGUAGAUGUAGUAACCUGGCUGAGUCCAGUUCAAACACAGACAAUUGCAUUUGGUGUACCAAAAAUCUUCUCUGUGUAUUUGGCAGCCUUUUUCAUUUCUUGAGCCUGAAAAUGAUUGUUUGGGAUGACUUUGACUGCUGGGAAGGAAGAAAUUCUCAGUACGGUGUGUGUUGUGUGGAAGGUGAUAGUAGCAUACAGAGAGAUAAUCGCUACAUUUAUAAUUGACAAGAUGUGAAUUAAUUUUACUGGCAAUUAGUAUGGCUGGUAAAGCAUUCUUACACGAGGUUGAAACCUCCCUUG